rnacentral:rRNA from 1 species
UGCAAGUCGAACGGGACCAGGGGCAACUCUGGUUCAGUGGCGGACGGGUGCGUAACACGUGAGGAACAUGACCUUCGGCGGGGGAUAGCCGGCCCAACGGCCGGGUAAUACCGCGUACGACCAUCCGGGGACAUCCCUGGGUGGUGAAAGCAGCAAUGCGCCGAUGGAGUGCCUCGCGGCCUAUCAGCUAGUUGGUGAGGUAACGGCUCACCAAGGCGACGACGGGUAGCUGGUCUGAGAGGAUGGCCAGCCACAUUGGGACUGAGACACGGCCCAGACUCCUACGGGAGGCAGCAGUGGGGAAUAUUGCGCAAUGGACGAAAGUCUGACGCAGCGACGCCGCGUGUGGGAUGACGGUCUUCGGAUUGUAAACCACUGUCGGGAGGGACGAAUACGCCGCAAGGCGGGUGACGGUACCUCCAAAGGAAGCACCGGCUAACUCCGUGCCAGCAGCCGCGGUAAUACGGAGGGUGCGAGCGUUGUCCGGAAUCACUGGGCGUAAAGGGCGCGUAGGCGGCCUGAUAAGUAGGGGGUGAAAUCCUGCGGCUUAACCGCAGGGCUGCCUUCUAAACUGUCGGGCUCGAGCACAGUAGAGGCAGGUGGAAUUCCCGGUGUAGCGGUGGAAUGCGUAGAGAUCGGGAAGAACAUCAGUGGCGAAGGCGGCCUGCUGGGCUGUUGCUGACGCUGAGGCGCGACAG